UACGUAGGGUGCGAGCGUUGUCCGGAAUUAUUGGGCGUAAAGAGCUCGUAGGCGGUCUGUCGCGUCGGCUGUGAAAACCCGAGGCUCAACCUCGGGCCUGCAGUCGAUACGGGCAAACUGGAGUGUUGCAGGGGAGACUGGAAUUCCUGGUGUAGCGGUGAAAUGCGCAGAUAUCAGGAGGAACACCGGUGGCGAAGGCGGUUCUCUGGGCCUUACCUGACGCUGAGGAGCGAAAGCAUGGGGAGCAAACAGG
rnacentral:rRNA from 1 species